UAUCCUAAUAUUUUCUUUUAUUCGUAUCCUUUACGUGUAUUUAUAAUUAUGUUUACAUUUGUAUCUGUCAUAAAAUACACGCUUGAUGAAAUAAAUAAAAUAAAUAAAAAAAACCAAAUCCUUUUGGAAUAAACUGUUUCAAAUAAUGUCAUGUUAGCAACCUUUCUUUUAAAAAAAAAUAAAGCAAACAAAUUUAAAAAUUAUUUAAAAAUAUGUUUAUAGUAUUUAAAAUUAAGACACGAUUAGUGCUAUGUCUUCACAUAGGUGCUGUGGUGGCGCAGUGGUUAGAAUGCAGUACUGCAGGAUACUUCUGCUUACUGCUGGCUGAUUGCAAUUUGGCUGCUUGAAAUCUCACCAGGCUCAAGGUUUACUCAGCCUUCCAUCCUUCCAAGGACUGUGGCCUUGUUGAAAAAUGCCUUCUGAUGAUAGAGUAGAAACAACCUUCUAGACCCCCAAAUCACACUGACUCCUCAAGACUACAAUCAAGCUAAAAAAAAAAAGUGGAAGUGGAACAUUUCAUGUUAUUUAAAGGUUAUUCUCAUUGGCUUUCAGAAAAAUGCAUGCCCUCAGUAUGAAAGGGCAAAUGGAGAAAUUCUGGAUUCCAGGCAUCGAAAAGCACCUAGAAUGUUUGUCUAUUUCUUGUGUUGCAUUGAUACUAAAUGUCCUGGCUUGAUUUCACUGCUACAUCUUCUGGGAGGAUGGAAAAAGCGAUGUAGUGAAGCUUGUUUCUAAACAGGCAUGGACACCUCUUUCAAAUGAUGUCCUUGCUUCUCCUGAAUAGCAGAGGUGGUAUUCAGCCAGUUUAGACCAGUUCAGGUGAACCAGUAGUGCCGAUGAUCAUUUGGCUCCACCCACCCACCCCCACUGUAUCCUGUCCUUUAUUUCCUUCUUUGUAGCUCAUCUCAAUCAAGCGGCACAGCUGAUUUCCCCUCCCCGCCCCUCACUGUUCUACUUACCAUUGCU